GGAGAGCAUUCAUAGUGAAGGUAAUUUAGGGCUUCAGUAAUCCCAACAGCUACUUUGCAUCUCACUUCCCAUGACAAUACUGAUUUUUCUUUGCUAUUACCUGUUUCAGCGAACCAACUGUUUUCCUCUAGAUUUCCUUUAGGCAACAAAUCAUAAACAGAGAUCAGGGCAUUAUCUUCAACACAUACACCAAUCAAAACAUCAACUACCUGAGUAAAAUCCUUCCAUGACUCUUAGGAUGACUUUAAAACCUUGACUGCCACCGGCUUCCCAUCCGGAAGAAUCCCCUUAUACACGCAAUUACACCAUCCUUUCCCGAUCAGCUUAUCUGCAAUGGAACAGAAUAUUCAAAAAAAAAGAAGAAAGAGAUCCACUCAAACAAAACCAUGUUUACUGUCGUCUGUUGAGUCAAAUUGGAGGGGAUAUAACCUGAGGAGAAUUCCAAAGUAGAGGUUUUCAUGACAUCGUAGCUGAACCAUUUGUAGCCGGAUGAGUAUUUUAGGAAGAGCUUCUCCAAAUUCUCUGGUAGCUCUCUUGUAUCUGUAGUGCUGUUACUCUGUGAUGAGAAAGGACUUUCUGCUUCAAUUGGAGUCAUUUGACUAAAACCACCUUCCUUGGAAAGAGUACUCUGCGGUGUAGACCGGUUCGGUAAUUGCAUCAGUAAUCGCAUUACCGACUUCACAACCGACAUUUUGCUCGCUUCCUCUGCCGGAGGACUCACUACGCUGAGCAGUGGCCAACCAGGCCUCUACUCCCCGAAAUCCCCCGAAUGAAAGGAAAAUGAACUUGUAGAAAGUGCUUUGUGUUGUCGAAGAGGGUUGAAAUUAGCAAGGCUGUGUCUAGCAAUCUCUAAUGUCUCGGAAUCACCAAACUCAGACCAGGUAUCUAGUGUUUAAAAGGCUAGGGAUAUAUUGGUCCGUUCAGCCAAAAAUAGCAAUACCAUGUGUAGUAAGACUAGAAAUAGAGAAAUUCUAUUAGGGUGGUGCUAAUGCAAAAACUGCUUUUGUUAAUGCCAAAACUGAUGUGCAUAAAAAGCUUGUACCAUGAACAAAGUAAUAGAUUUGACAUUAACAAAAGCAGUUUUGGCAUUAUCAUUUCCCAUUCUAUUAUUCAGAGUAUUAUGUUACAAGAGGCCAGUACAUCGUUAUAUAGGGAAAACAUAGAAACCCUAAGUAAACCCUAUUACAUGAAAGGACAAUACUACCCUUGUAACUAAACAUUAAUAGCAUCAUACACAUUAAUAUUCUAACACUCCCCCUCAACAACACGAUGUGAACACCGAGAGCAUCGUGAGUUUGCCAUGAUGAAAAUGAUAUGAUCCAACUGAAACUUCGACUGAAACAAUCCAAAAAGCAAAAGCCAAAUCCAUGCGGUAAUGCAACUUCGAUCCAAUCCAAAAUGAAGAAUCACUAAUACUUUGGUACCCGAACAAAUGCAGUGGAAGAACGAACAAAAAUGCUAAUGGAGAAAUAUGAGACAAUUUCCAACACUCCCCCUCAUGUGCGAACCCCAAAUCACACGGGAGAGAUAAACAAAGGAUCCGACACGGAUCACAUCAACGGAUCCAACAAGGAUCACAACAAGACAAGGUGCCAGUGGCACAACAAAUGGGGAUUUAACUACCAAACAACGAGACAAACACUCGCCCAUAAUUUCACCAAAAGCCGAGAAAUAUCCUUGAGGGACCAAAAUGUCACACUGCUACAAAAACAGGGACCAAAUUGUCAUACUAUUACAAAAGCAGGGACCAAAACAAAUACUGCAAAGUUCAGGGACCAAACUAUAACAAAACAAAUGUGAUGGACUGAAGUGUAAA